AAGCUCGAUUUUAUUUAUUUUCCCCUCUCUCUCUCUCGCGAUCGAAUUCCCGAAACGCCGUGUGAUAUGUAAUCGAUGGAUUUGGAAUCAGGAGAAGGUUGAAGCCAUAGUUGGAGAUUUGGAGAUGGAUGCGAUUUCAAGUUGGAGUCGAAAUAAUCGGAAGAGAUUGAAUCAAUUGGAAUCACAAGGAGGUGUCUCUACGGAUUCAAUUGAAUAUGCAGAAGAAACAGGAAUUUUCUGAGUACAGAGAGAGGCUUAACGAGACCAUGACAAUGCUUAGAUCUAUCUUGAUGGUAAUGUUGUUCGUCACACUUGUUACAGCCAUUUCCAUGGUGUCCUCUUCUGCUUCAUCAUCGGAAGCCGAGUUUGUUCAGAAGACCAUCUCUUCCCACAAGAUCGUCAUCUUCUCCAAAUCCUACUGCCCCUAUUGCAGGAAAGCUAAAUCUGUCUUCAGAGAGCUGGAUCAAGUUCCUUAUGUUGUCACAGAAGAAGGUUGAAGCCACUGAAUCAUUGACUGUUG